rnacentral:rRNA from 1 species
GUACGGCCGCAAGGCUAAAACUCAAAGAAAUUGACGGGGGCCCGCACAAGCGGAGGAGCAUGUGGCUUAAUUCGAUGCAACGCGAAGAACCUUACCAGGGCUUGACAUCUAGCUGCACGCCUCGGGAAACCGAGGAAGCUUUCGAAGGUGCUAGACAGGUGCUGCAUGGCUGUCGUCAGUUCGUGCCGUGAGGUGUUUGGUUAAGUCCAGCAACGAACGCAACCCCUAUGUUUAGUUGCCACCGGUGGUGAUGAGCCAUCGAGCACUCUAGACAGACUGCCCGUACAAGCGGGAGGAAGGUGGGGACGACGUCAAGUCAGUAUGGCCCCUACGCCCUGGGCUGCACACGUGCUACAAUGGUCGGUACAGAGGGAAGCAAUAUCGCGAGGUGGAGCAAAUCCUUAAAGCCGGCCCCAGUUCGGAUUGGAGUCUGAAACUCGACUCCAUGAAGUCGGAUUCGCUAGUAAUGCCGUAUCAGCUACGACGGCGUGAAUACGUUCCCGGGCCUUGUACACACCGCCCGUCACAUCAUGAAAGCCGUCUGCACCCGAAGUCA